rnacentral:rRNA from 1 species
ACGGAAGGCAGCAGUGGGGAAUAUUGGACAAUGGGGGGAAACCCUGAUCCAGCGACGCCGCGUGAGUGAAGAAGUAUUUCGGUAUGUAAAGCUCUAUCAGCAAGGAAGAAAAUGACGGUACUUGACUAAGAAGCUCCGGCUAAAUACGUGCCAGCAGCCGCGGUAAUACGUAUGGAGCAAGCGUUAUCCGGAUUUACUGGGUGUAAAGGGAGCGUAGACGGCAAAGCAAGUCUGAAGUGAAAUCCCGGGGCUCAACCCCGGAACUGCUUUGGAAACUGUUUAGCUAGAGUGCAGGAGAGGUAAGCGGAAUUCCUAGUGUAGCGGUGAAAUGCGUAGAUAUUAGGAAGAACACCAGUGGCGAAGGCGAUCUACUGGACAGUAACUGACGCUGAGGCGCGAAAGCGUGGGGAGCAAACAGGAUUAGAUACCCUGGUA